rnacentral:rRNA from 1 species
GACGGAGGAUGCAAGCGUUAUCCGGAAUUAUUGGGCGUAAAGGGUGCGUAGGUGGUCAGACAAGUCCCAUGUCAAAGCAUGGUGCUUAACGCCAUAAAGGCGCGGGAAACUGUCUGACUAGAGUACAGCAGGGGCAGGAGGAAUUCCCGGUGUAGCGGUGAAAUGCGUAGAUAUCGGGAAGAACACCAGUGGCGCAAGCGUUCUGCUUGGCUGUAACUGACACUGAGGCACGAAAGCUAGGGGAGCGAAAGGG